rnacentral:lncRNA from 1 species
GUUAACUUGAAGAAAAGAAAUGGAGAAGGCAAAGGUGUGGAGUUGAGAUGUGGCUUGUACAAAGAUAGGGCAAGAGCUAUGGAGAAUGCCUAUCAAGAGUUAUGAAGUAUCUGAAGGUGUAGAGAAGUGAUCUGAUGGAUGUUCUAAGCAAUGGUAAAGUCUAGGAGAGACUUAGAAGAGUGUUGAGAAGCAAAUGGGCGAGUGUGCAAAGAUAGGGCGAGGCUGUACGGCCAUGUACGGAUCAGUACGGACGGUGGACUACCCUAGAAGUGCAGACUCGACCAUUUGGGUGUUUUAAGCUUUGUGCAAAGUUAGGGCGCAAGGGUACGGAUAUGGAAUGGUCCGUACACCUCCUGAUGGUGUUGUGCAAAGCUUGGGACAUAAAGAAAAGGUGUUGGGCGAAUGGAUAAGGUUCUGAUCAGAUGGCAUCAAAAGGGAAUCAAGUGGAGAUCCCUUGGAGGAGCUUUGGGCGUGGAUAAGGUUCAAGACAGGCUGGCCUUGGCUGUAAAGUAAAGGCAGCCUUGACUAUGAACCUAGACUGAUUCCAAGCUUGAUACAAAGGAGCCAAAGAAGAACCAAUCAAGAGCCAGCCUAGUUUGAAUGAGCCAAUGAGGCGCCAGCCUCUUCUUUCCAAUCAGAUCACCUUCUCCUCAUGACAAACAAGACCAGCUCAUCUACACCAUCCAUUUAAACUUCAAGUAUUAUCAGCCAUUAGAUUUAGGUUUAUGAUUUGCUCUUGUAAAGGCAUAUAUAAGCCUAAGGUUGGCGAUUUGUAAAGGUUAAGGGAGUAAGGGGGAUUUCCCCUCUCCACUUCAUGGAAAUAAGAAGUUGUGUUCUUGAAUCAGAUUCUCUUUAAUCUCUCCCUUUCUUAGUCUUUAAUCUCCUAAUCUCUCAAAGUCUUUUGUUUCUGAUUUAAGUAAACACUCUCAUCAAUCUCUCUUUCUAAAUCACCUAGAGCAAGCUCUCAUCUUUCUCCAUUGGAGUUUAUACACACACAAACACAACUAGAGAAGAGAACUCUAUAAAUCUCACAUGGUAUCAGAGCCAGGUUCAUCAGAACCUGAGCUGUAGCUUCCGCAAAUCACUUGCUCUCACCUCAGCUCAAUCCAAACCCUUGAAGCCUUUCCCAUCCGAGUUCAGUUUCUCCAUGAAGUAGAAGACUGAAGCUGGCGUGGCUCUUAUCCUUUCUCCUGUCCAUACUGAUGGAGAGACUCAUUGGAAGCAGAGGUGUAUGGAGAGGCCUCGCGAACCUUCUCAAGCUUGAGGGGGAGUGUUGAAGCUUACAUGAUCUGAGAGUACUUGGUGGUUAUUCAAGAAGAGGAGCAGAUCAGUUAUGAAGCAUAAUGAAGGAUGAAGAAGCAAUCACCAAUGCGGCCUCUAGAGUGAGGUGAUUGGUACUACAGUCUGAAGCAUCCUGUCAUGAAGGUUUCAGUAACAUGGUGGUGACUCAUGAAGAAGAAGCAGCCAAGACUCAGCUUGUAUCUAUCAAAGAAGAUCUGGUAGUCCGAGCACUUGAUACACAACAAGAAGGUUGUGAGAAAGGGGGAGAGACCAAGAUCUAUCUGAAGAAGAGUACAAGAAGUGUUGAUGAUGAGCAAGAGGAGUGGGUUCUAUCUUGCAUCACAUGAGGGCCAUGAUCCAGAGUCUUUGUGUCCCUUACAUUGUUGGUAAGGCACAAAGACUCACUGGCCAAUCCCUAGGCCUUGGAGGCUUUACUCUUUUUCCCUCAUCAAGGUUUUGUCCCAAAGGGUUUUCCUUGGUGAGGUUUUUAAUGAGGAAGUUCUUCAAGGUUCCAAGCUUGACUUAGGAUCAGCUAAAGUCAAGCUUGAGGGGGAGUGUUAACUUGAAGAAAAGAAAUGGAGAAGGCAAAGGUGUGGAGUUGAGAUGUGGCUUGUACAAAGAUAGGGCAAGAGCUAUGGAGAAUGCCUAUCAAGAGUUAUGAAGUAUCUGAAGGUGUAGAGAAGUGAUCUGAUGGAUGUUCUAAGCAAGGGUAAAGUCUAGGAGAGACUUAGAAGAGUGUUGAGAAGCAAAUGGGCGAGUGUGCAAAGAUAGGGCGAGGCUGUACGGCCAUGUACGGAUCAGUACGGACGGUGGACUACCCUAGAAGUGCAGACUCGACCAUUUGGGUGUUUUAAGCUUUGUGCAAAGUUAGGGCGCAAGGGUACGGAUAUGGAAUGGUCCGUACACCUCCUGAUGGUGUUGUGCAAAGCUUGGGACAUAAAGAAAAGGUGUUGGGCGAAUGGAUAAGGUUCUGAUCAGAUGGCAUCAAAAGGGAAUCAAGUGGAGAUCCCUUGGAGGAGCUUUGGGCGUGGAUAAGGUUCAAGACAGGCUGGCCUUGGCUGUAAAGUAAAGGCAGCCUUGACUAUGAACCUAGACUGAUUCCAAGCUUGAUACAAAGGAGCCAAAGAAGAACCAAUCAAGAGCCAGCCUAGUUUGAAUGAGCCAAUGAGGCGCCAGCCUCUUCUUUCCAAUCAGAUCACCUUCUCCUCAUGACAAACAAGACCAGCUCAUCUACACCAUCCAUUUAAACUUCAAGUAUUAUCAGCCAUUAGAUUUAGGUUUAUGAUUUGCUCUUGUAAAGGCAUAUAUAAGCCUAAGGUUGGCGAUUUGUAAAGGUUAAGGGAGUAAGGGGGAUUUCCCCUCUCCACUUCAUGGAAAUGAAAACUAGUUCUUGAAUCUGAAACUCUAAUCUCUAAACACUUAUUCUCUUAAUCUUUCAGUCUCUUAAUCUCUGGUUCUAAGUCUCUUAUUCUCUCAUAAACACUCUUAUCAAUCUCUUUCUAAAUCACCUAGAGCAAGCUCUAAUCUUUCUCCAUUGGAGUUUAUACACACACAAACACAACCAGAGAAGAGAACUCUAUAAAUCUCAC